rnacentral:pre_miRNA from 1 species
GGCCUCUUUACAGUGCUAUCUUGUAGCCUCAAUCAAGCAGCAUUGUACAGGGCUAUGA